UAGUCUUCUCCACCAAUGAGGAAGUGCGGCAGGCUGGGAGGGCUGGGCCUGGCAGCCGUGGCGCUUCUAGGGAGUCACCCGCAGCAGGGGCUCGUGGAGGCCGACUGCAGGCAGCUGAGGACCAUGGCGGCGGCGGUGGCGGCGGCGGCAGCAGUGCGGACCCGGAUCCUGCAGGUCUCUUCCAAGGUGAAUUCCACUUGGUACCCAGCAUCCUCCUUUUCUUCUUCAGUGCCAACUGUAAAGCUCUUCAUUGAUGGGAAAUUUGUUGAAUCCAAAAGUGACAAAUGGAUUGACAUCCACAACCCAGCCACCAAUGAGGUCAUUGGUCAUGUUCCUCUGGCCACCAAGGCCGAAAUGGACACGGCUGUUGCUUCCUGCAAACGUGCUUUUCCCGCAUGGGCGGACACUUCAGUAUUAAGCCGCCAGCAGAUCCUGCUCCGCUAUCAACAACUCAUUAAAGAAAACUUGAAAGAAAUCGCCAAGUUAAUCACAUUGGAACAAGGGAAGACCCUUGCUGAUGCUGAAGGAGAUGUAUUCCGAGGCCUUCAGGUGGUUGAGCAUGCCUGCAGUGUAACAUCCCUCCUGCUGGGAGAGACUAUGCCAUCCAUCACCAAAGACAUGGACCUUUAUUCCUACCGUCUGCCUCUGGGGGUGUGCGCAGGCAUUGCUCCAUUCAAUUUUCCUGCCAUGAUCCCCCUGUGGAUGUUUCCAAUGGCCAUAGUGUGUGGAAAUACCUUCCUACUGAAACCAUCAGAGCGAGUUCCUGGAGCAAGCAUGCUUCUUGCUAAGUUGUUCCAGGACUCUGGUGCCCCAGAUGGAACACUAAAUAUCAUCCAUGGACAACAUGAAGCUGUAAACUUUAUUUGUGAUCAUCCGGAUAUCAAAGCAAUCAGCUUUGUGGGAUCCAACCAGGCAGGAGAGUACAUCUUCGAGAGAGGGUCAAGACAUGGCAAGAGAGUUCAAGCCAAUAUGGGAGCCAAGAACCAUGGAGUAGUCAUGCCAGAUGCCAAUAAGGAAAAUACCCUGAACCAGCUGGUUGGGGCAGCCUUUGGAGCUGCUGGUCAGCGCUGCAUGGCUCUUUCCACAGCAAUCCUUGUAGGAGAAGCUAAGAAGUGGCUGCCAGAGCUGGUGGAGCGUGCCAAAAACCUGAGAGUCAAUGCAGGAGACCAGCCUGGAGCUGAUCUUGGCCCUCUGAUCACCCCCCAGGCCAAAGAGCGAGUCUGUAAUCUGAUUGAUAGUGGAACAAAGGAGGGAGCUUCUAUCCUCCUUGAUGGUCGAAAAAUUAAAGUGAAAGGCUAUGAAAAUGGCAACUUUGUUGGACCAACCAUCAUCUCAAAUGUCAAGCCAACUAUGACCUGUUACAAAGAGGAGAUUUUUGGUCCAGUUCUUGUGGUUCUGGAGACAGACACUUUGGAUGAAGCCAUCAAGAUUGUAAAUGACAAUCCAUAUGGAAAUGGAACCGCCAUCUUCACCACCAAUGGAGCCACUGCUCGGAAAUAUUCCCACCUGGUGGAUGUUGGACAGGUGGGGGUAAAUGUCCCUAUUCCAGUGCCUUUGCCAAUGUUCUCAUUCACCGGUUCUCGAUCUUCCUUCAGAGGAGACACCAAUUUCUAUGGCAAACAGAAAAGAGAGAAAAACUAACAGUUAUUGAACAGCAGUUACUUUGCUAGGACGUUUGAAGGUCAUCUCAUUUUCCCCUCACAGCGAGGGCAUCCAAUUCUACACUCAGCUAAAGACCAUCACUUCUCAGUGGAAAGAAGAAGAUGCUACUCUUUCCUCACCUGCUGUAGUCAUGCCUACCAUGGGCCGUUAGAAACAAGUUUGUUCCAGAUUCAGUCCACCCUGAGUAAUCUCCCUCUGUUCUUGACCAACUUCAUUUGCCAACUUUGCUCAGAUCAGAUCUCUAGGAUUGGAAUACCUGGUAAUUAAGACCUUUCUCAAGACCAUUGGCCCCUGCAAAGUUGUUCUGGGGAGAUUCCUAGUCUGACUCUGAAAACAGAUUUUCACUUGCUCCUUACUUUGGUUUUUGAGGUAACUUUUGUUAACUCUGAAACACUUAUAUGGAAUGAGAUCUUAGGUUAUUUUUAAAAGUUCUCCCCUUUUCUGAUGACUUGCGGAAGGGAAGAUAGUGUAUGUAAAGAAGAUCUUCCAAUAACUGGAAGAGGACUUCUUGGAUGGGGAAACAGGACAGAAAUUAAUUCACCUUUUGGUUGAUCCUCAAACACAGCCCUACAUAAAUGGCAGUGGGGGAGACCCCUCUGCCAAGCUUUCCUGAGCCUGUCAUUUAUCCCACACUAUGAAGGACAUAAUCCAUUUCUACUUAUCCCGUGGUUGUGACAACUGCUUUCUUUUCUGCUAAAUGCCACUUUGUCCUAGUGAUUCAUGACCACUAAUUACUAAUUCUAUCAUUGUUACUGUUCCUACUUCUUAAAAAUCACUUCUCAAGGAUACCUCAGUAUGUACUGGAUAAAUCAACUUUUUGUUGUGUGUGCCAAGUGUUAAAUUUCACAUUUGGCUUCAACAUUCAUUAAUGCUUCAGUCAUUAAUUCAGAUGCAAAUGGAGUUUUUUAAGAGCACUAUUUCAAAAGGUUUUUAGGGCCAGAAAUCAAGGGGUAUUCUAGCCAUGAAAGUGUGCAAGAGUCUUGCCUUAAGUAAGUGUAACCAGGUAUUACUUGUUGAAUUUUUUAUAUUGUUCUUUCUUCUUGCUUGCAUUUCUCGUUAGUGAUAAUUUUUAACGAAAGAACUCUUAAUGUAGAGUAAUUCAUUGGUGCCUAAGAAAUUUCAAGGCUCUUCAUGACAUGAAAUAGUAAAAAAGAAAUGCUUUGACAGAUUCUUCUGCAACCAUUAUAUUCAAGUGUCUUUACGCCUUUUCUUUUGGUAUAGCUAAACUUUAUGUCAGAACAGAAACUGAUGAGCUAAAAAAAACAGAUUCCCAACCGAAUCAAGUCUUUUCGGAUAUAGUUUUUACACAGUGAACUAAGAGACGGCUGCUGGCUCUGAUACAAUAGUCUUUGGUCCUCAGCCAGAUGAUAUAGGUCAUUUAUUUUUUCUGCUCCCUCAUGAGUCACUUGGAUAAUGCUAAUCUGCUCCAUGGCAGUGAUUCAGUGAACUAAGGAUAUGAAAACUUUGAAAACAUUUGUGCACUCUGUGGAUUUUAAUACUACCACUGCUGGAUAGAGUGUCAGAAUCUUCAAUCGUUUAAGGUGACUGGAACCUUAAUAAAAUACAUUUAUGACCCUAAUGGGUUUAUUGGUUUUUUGGGGUUUUUUUGUUUUUGUUUCUUUUUUUUGGAUUUGCCUUCCUAAAUAUGAGGCAAUAAAAAUUUAUAAUUUGAUAAUAGAAUGCCCUUUAUUUUCUUUCUACUUAUCACAGCUGGCAACUAAUAGUAAUACUUAAUCCAAUCCAACAACUAUAGGCUGGGUUGAAUGAAAGCUCAUAUUGUCUAAAUUCCAACUGGAAUUAAAUAUAAUCCCAGAGAUUCCUAUGUUUUCCUUAUAUUUAAGGGAAAUCACUUUUGUAAAAAUACUGACUCAUCAGAAUUGUGUUGCUCUAAUUGGAAUCAACUCAUUUGUCUAGCUACUUGCUACUCAAAAGAGUUUCUUGUUUCUUAUAUGGAAAAAAAAUAUGCAGUUGUAUUCAUGCUAAUAGCAUCUUAAAAAUUUAGUGUGGCCUCAUUUGAAAUUUCUCAGAUCCUAUGUUGUACUAAUUGAUUAUGAAUAACAAAUUACAAAUAAAAAGCUCUUAAAAAGAAAA